ACGGGAGGCAGCAGUCGGGAAUAUUGCGCAAUGGAGGAAACUCUGACGCAGUGACGCCGCGUGCAGGAAGAAGGUUUUCGGAUUGUAAACUGCUUUAGACAGGGAAGAUAGUGACAGUACCUGUAGAAUAAGCUCCGGCUAACUACGUGCCAGCAGCCGCGGUAAUACGUAGGGAGCGAGCGUUAUCCGGAUUUAUUGGGUGUAAAGGGUGCGUAGACGGGAAAUUAAGUUAGUUGUGAAAUCCCUCGGCUUAACUGAGGAACUGCAACUAAAACUGAUUUUCUUGAGUACUGGAGAGGAAAGCGGAAUUCCUAGUGUAGCGGUGAAAUGCGUAGAUAUUAGGAGGAACACCAGUGGCGAAGGCGGCUUUCUGGGCAGAAACUGACGUUGAGGCACGAAAGUGUGGGGAGCAAACAGGAUUAGAUACCCUGGUA
rnacentral:rRNA from 1 species